UUAUAACUAUCUUUUUUUGCCUACUUAAGUUUUUUUUUUUAGGAAAAACUUCAAAUACCCUCCUUGGGGUUUCUAUUUUUUUCAUUUUAAUACCAUAUGGUUUAAAGUGUAUCAAGUUAGUAUCCUGUGGUUUUGUACUUUUUCACUUUAGUACCCUGUGGUUUCGCACUUUAUCACUUUAGUACCAUAUGGUUUCGCACUUUAUCACUUUAGUAUCCUAUAGUUUAAAAACCAUAUGGUACUAACUUCAUAAAAAAAUAAAAUUAUAGGGUACUAACUUGAUACAAAAAAAAAAUCACAGAGUACUAACUUGAUACACUUUAAACCACAGGAUACUAAAGUGAUAAAGUGAGAAACCACAGAGUACUAACUUGAUAUACUUUAAGCCAUAUGGUACUAAAAUGAAAAAGUGUGAAACCACAAAGGUGUUUUUUUGAAGUUUUUCCUUUUUUUAAAGAAAAACU
rnacentral:lncRNA from 1 species